CUAUCAAAAAAUCAGGGAUCAAAAACAAGUUGUAAUUGUGCUUAGACUCUCAGCUGGCCAAUGCCAGUACAGCAUCAAAUUAAGACAGGAGCCUUAUUUGCAUGUAAGUGCUGAUCAAGUGUGGCUGGCAAAGACAGGUGAACCAGUGAAAAAUGGCAUAGACCAAAGAGGAGCGCUAGAAGAAUUCUCUCAUUAACACGACCAGAUUGAGCUGUUUCCCUGGGUACCUCUGACGUCACCAUAGCUACUGCUCCCCCACCUGCUUCUCUGCGCUGCAGGAUACAACUGGUGGUGGAGUGGAGGCCUGAGAAGGUAGGGAAAUCAGGGGGAGCUAGGAAGCCAGAUGGCGGAGAUGGGGAGGGUCGCAGCUCAGCUUGAAGAGCGAGGAAGUUGUGCGUGAAGAUCUUAAAGCGGAGCCUUGGACGGUGAUUGGCCGUAGAGGAAAUGCAGACUUGAUGCUGGAGCGGGGACGCACGGUGGACUCAUUGAACGAAGUAGAGGAAGGGAAAUAAACAUCCAUCCCUCUAAAACAUCUUUAACAUGGGUCGACCAUGAGAACAUCAUGGAAGUUGCGGC